rnacentral:tRNA from 1 species
GCCCGGGUGGCGGAACUGGUAGACGCGUUGGUCUCAAACACCAAUGGUAGCAAUACCGUGCCGGUUCGAUUCCGGCCCCGGGUACUA